ensembl:lncRNA
CCCCACGUCCCGCGGCGGUGCCUCGCAGAGCGGCGUGACGCGACUCGCAUCGCUCCGUCCCGAGGCCGUGCUGCCGGGCAGCGCUAUUUCAGCGCUUCAAAGGCAAAGAACCGCCAGAAAUAUUUCCUAUCCUGCAUGGAAUUUCCUUUCCAAAGAGCCAUCAGUGGAGAUGCAGGAGGGCUCGUUUCGUUCUGCCCGAAGGGGGAAUGCUGCUGCACGACUCUUCUGCGCUGAAACUGAGAGUCCUGCUAUCUGGAAGGGAACAUCCUUGUUGCUGCCAGGAGCUGCCACAGAGCAGUCCAGCCCCAAAGCCUGCCGUGCAGACACAGUGUCUGUGGUUGAAGAAGAGACCUCCUGGAUGUCAGGUUUCAUCCUCCCAUCAGUUACUACCCCGACAGCAGAACUCGUUCUGUUGGAGGUGCAUGCAAAGUUGGCUCAGUAUUAUCCCCCAAAGCUACGUAGCCC